AACAGCAAGUCGAACGAUUAAGACUCCCUUCGGGGAGUGUAUAAAGUGGCGUACGGGUGAGUAACACGUAAGUAAUCUACCUUCGAGUGGGGAAUAACAACCGGAAACGGUUGCUAAUACCGCAUAACGCAGCGGCACCUAACGGUGACAGUUGUUAAAGGAGCAAUUCGCUUGAAGAGGAGCUUGCGGCAGAUUAGCUAGUUGGUAAGGUAAUGGCUUACCAAGGCUACGAUCUGUAUCCGGUCUAAGAGGACGGUCGGACACACUGACACUGAAUAACGGGUCAGACUCCUACGGGAGGCAGCAGUCGGGAAUUUUGGGCAAUGGGCGAAAGCCUGACCCAGCAACGCCGCGUGAAGGAUGAAGUUUUUCGGAAUGUAAACUUCGAAAGAAUGGGAAGAAUAAAUGGCGGUACCAUUUAUAAGGUCCGGCUAACUACGUGCCAGCAGCCGCGGUAAUACGUAGGGACCAAGCGUUGUUCGGAUUUACUGGGCGUAAAGGGCGCGUAGGCGGCAAUUCAAGUCAGCUGUGAAAUCUCCGGGCUUAACUCGGAACGGUCAGCUGAUACUGCUUUGCUAGAGUGCAGAAGGGGCAAUCGGAAUUCUCGGUGUAGCGGUGAAAUGCGUAGAUAUCGAGAGGAACACCUGAGGUGAAGACGGGUUGCUGGGCUGACACUGACGCUGAGGCGCGAAAGCCAGGGUAGCAAACGGGAUUAGAUACCCCGGUAGUCCUGGCCCUAAACGAUGAAUACUUGGUGUCUGGAGUUAUUAUUGCUCCGGGUGCCGUCGCUAACGUUUUAAGUAUUCCGCCUGGGGAGUACGCACGCAAGUGUGAAACUCAAAGGAAUUGAC
rnacentral:rRNA from 1 species